rnacentral:rRNA from 1 species
CUACGGGGGGCUGCAGUGAGGAAUAUUGCACAAUGGGGGGAACCCUGAUGCAGCAACGCCGCGUGGAGGAUGACGCAUUUCGGUGUGUAAACUCCUUUUAUAUGUCAAGAAAAUGACGGUAGCAUAUGAAUAAGCACCGGCUAACUCCGUGCCAGCAGCCGCGGUAAUACGGAGGGUGCAAGCGUUACUCGGAAUCACUGGGCGUAAAGGACGCGUAGGCGGGUUGGAAAGUCAGGUGUGAAAUCCUACAGCUUAACUGUAGAACUGCACUUGAAACUUCUAAUCUAGAGCAUGGGAGGGGGAGAUGGAAUUAGUGGUGUAGGGGUAAAAUCCGUAGAUAUCACUAGGAGUACCUAAAGCGAAGGCGAUCUCCUGGAACAUUACUGACGCUAAGGCGUGAAAGCGUGGGGAGCAAACAGGAUUAGAUACCCCGGUAGUC